AUCGCCGCCUUGCUUUCAGGUUCAAGCGAUAUUUUUAUCAAUUGAUUAAACGGGAAGUCGGUAUAAGCCGACGCUGCCCCCGCAACGGUAAUUAAGUAAAGAGUCAUUGGUAUGCCACUGUGUUUACGCAUGGGAAGGUGAUGAUUCAGGCUGACAAAAAGCCACUUAACAGCCCGGAGACCGACCUAAAAGUAUUAUUCGGG
rnacentral:ncRNA from 1 species